UACAGAGGGUGCGAGCGUUGUUCGGAAUUAUUGGGCGUAAAGCGCGUGUAGGCGGGAUGGCAAGUCAGGUGUGAAAGCCCUCGGCUCAACCGAGGAAGUGCGCCUGAAACUACCGUUCUUGAGUGCCGGAGAGGGUGGCGGAAUUCCCGGUGUAGAGGUGAAAUUCGUAGAUAUCGGGAGGAACACCAGUGGCGAAGGCGGCCACCUGGACGGUUUCUGACGCUAAGACGCGAAAGCGUGGGGAGCAAACAGG
rnacentral:rRNA from 1 species